rnacentral:rRNA from 1 species
UACGGGAGGCAGCAGUGGGGAAUAUUGCACAAUGGGCGUAAGCCUGAUGCAGCCAUGCCGCGUGUAUGAAGAAGGCCUUCGGGUUGUAAAGUACUUUCAGUCGUGAGGAAGGUGUUAAGGUUAAUAACCUUAGCAAUUGACGUUAGCGACAGAAGAAGCACCGGCUAACUCCGUGCCAGCAGCCGCGGUAAUACGGAGGGUGCGAGCGUUAAUCGGAAUUACUGGGCGUAAAGGGCACGCAGGCGGUUAAUUAAGUUGGAUGUGAAAUCCCCGGGCUUAACCUGGGAAUGGCAUUCAAGACUGGUUAGCUAGAGUCUUGUAGAGGGGGUAGAAUUCCAUGUGUAGCGGUGAAAUGCGUAGAGAUGUGGAGGAAUACCGGUGGCGAAGGCGGCCCCUGGACAAAGACUGACGCUCAUGUGCGAAAGCGUGGGGAGCAAACAGGGA